UAUAUCAUAGUGCUUUUUGAAGAAGCUAAGUGCAACUCUACAGCACCGCACAUCAUUUUAAUCGAAUCCAAACAU
rnacentral:lncRNA from 1 species